GCCUCUAUGGUCUAGUGGUAAGAUACCUGCUUUGGGUGCAGGUGAUCCUGGGUUCGAACCCCAGUGGAGGCC
rnacentral:tRNA from 1 species